rnacentral:rRNA from 1 species
CCCAGACUCCUACGGGAGGCAGCAGUGAGGAAUAUUGGUCAAUGGCCGAGAGGCUGAACCAGCCAAGUCGCGUGAGGGAUGACGGCCCUACGGGUUGUAAACCUCUUUUGUCGGGGAGCAAAGAGGCCUCGUGAGGUCAAAAGCGAGAGUACCCGAAGAAAAAGCAUCGGCUAACUCCGUGCCAGCAGCCGCGGUAAUACGGAGGAUGCGAGCGUUAUCCGGAUUUACUGGGUGUAAAGGGCGUGUAGCCGGGCUGACAAGUCAGAUGUGAAAUCCCGUGGCUCAACCACGGAACUGCAUUUGAAACUGUCGGUCUUGAGUAUCGGAGAGGCAGGCGGAAUUCCUAGUGUAGCGGUGAAAUGCGUAGAUAUUAGGAGGAACACCAGUGGCGAAGGCGGCCUGCUGGACGACAACUGACGGUGAGGCGCGAAAGCGUGGGGAGCAAACAGGAUUAGAUACCCUAGUAGA